UUCCUACGGGUGGCUGCAGUGAGGAAUAUUGAGCAAUGGGCGCAAGCCUGACUCAGCAACGCCGCGUGGAUGAUGAAGGCCUUCGGGUUGUAAAAUCCUUUUCUGGGGGACGAUAAUGACGGUACCUCAGGAAUAAGUUCCGGCUAACUACGUGCCAGCAGCCGCGGUAAAACGUAGGGAACAAGCGUUAUCCGGAUUUACUGGGCGUAAAGCGCGCGCAGGCGGCAUGGAAAGUUGGACGUGAAAACUCCUGGCUUAACUGGGAGAGGUCGUAAAAAACUACCAAGCUAGAGGUUGGAAGAAGAGAGUGGAAUUCCCGGUGUAGUGGUGGAAUGCGUAGAUAUCGGGAGGAACACCCGUGGUGAAAACGGCUCUCUGGUCCAAUACUGACGCUGAGGUGCGAAAGCGUGGGGAGCGAACGGGAUUAGAUACCCCAGUAGUC
rnacentral:rRNA from 1 species